CCAGCCCCCCUCAGAAGAGAGCAGCGCCUCCCCACUCCCAUUUUCGGAUUUCAUUCUUCUUCAUGUUCUCAACUGAAGAACCCCUGUUUCGACCAGGGAAUCAGACCCCGCCCCUUCCGUUCAGAACAGACAGAAACGAAUUCCUCCUUUUGAGAAAAAAACCUAGCCGUCAUCCCUUCUCCUUCUCUUUUCCUUCCUUACUCACACGCAGAUACACUUAAGAACACACAAAAACGGCUGAAAUAAAAAAAAUCAUCCGCUGAAAUCUACUAAAAAAAGGGGAGAAAAUUAAAAUAGCAAAGACCAAGAGUAAUUUCCAUUGAAGAAAGGAAAGGAAAUCUGUGUUUAAAUCUCACUUGGAAAUGAAGUGUUAAUCGUCAAUUUUUGGGCGUUCUAAGAGCUGUUUCGAGCUGAAAUUAGUUGUCACUGCACUUCAACUGUUGCUGAAAUCCAUCCUUCAUUUUCCUGGUCUUUAUUUGGUCCAAAUCUCUUUUCCUUGUCCCUUUUAAGAAAUUUAGGUUCAAAAAUGGGGUCAAGCUGAAGUGGGUUUUCGAUUUGGAGUGUCCGUUCGAGAUCGGUUCUCGGUUCCUGAUUCAUAUUGUUGCUGUAUUUUCUUCGGGACUUCAUCUCGUCGAAUCUGUGGCAAAAACAUUUCUUUACAUAUUAAAGGAGAAGCACUUAACAGAGGAAGCAUCCCGAGUUUAAGCAGGUCCGGGGAAGGACUGCAUCCCAAGGGUGUGUGAUGUAGCGAGUCUACCCUGAUGCAAGUAUCAAUGGCUCACGGCUCGAACCUGUGACCUUUAGGUCACACGGAGAUACUUUACUGUUGCUCCAAGGCUCCCCUUCAUAAUUUAAAGUGAAUCAAAGUCAAUUUUGAAGUAUAGAAACCUCAAAAAAUGACAUAUUGUCUAUUGGAAACAGAUUGUCAAUUUUGAAUAUUUGUAGAAUCUUCAUUUGCAUAUAUCAACUCUUAAGCAUUUCCAUUU